CCUACGGGUGGCAGCAGUGAGGAAUAUUGGUCAAUGGCCGAGAGUCUGAACCAGCCAAGUAGCGUGAAGGAUGACUGCUCUAUGGGUUGUAAACUUCUUUUAUAUGGGAAUAAAAUGUUCCACGUGUGGGAUUUUGUAUGUACCAUAUGCAUAAGCAUCGGCUAACUCCGUGCCAGCAGCCGCGGUAAUACGGAGGAUCCGAGCGUUAUCCGGAUUUAUUGGGUUUAAAGGGUGCGUAGGUGGAUUGUUAAGUCAGUUGUGAAAGUUUGCGGCUCAACCGUAAAAUUGCAGUUGAAACUGGCAGUCUUGAGUACAGUAGAGGUGGGCGGAAUUCGUGGUGUAGCGGUGAAAUGCUUAGAUAUCACGAAGAACUCCGAUUGCGAAGGCAGUUCACUGGACUGCAACUGACACUGAGGCUCGAAAGUGUGGGUAUCAAACAGGAUUAGAUACCCGAGUAGUC
rnacentral:rRNA from 1 species